UACGUAGGGUGCGAGCGUUAAUCGGAAUUACUGGGCGUAAAGCGUGCGCAGGCGGUUUGUGAUGUCUGAUGUGAAAGCCCCGGGCUCAACCUGGGAAUUGCAUUGGAAACUAGCGGGCUGGAGUGUGGCAGAGGGGGGUGGAAUUCCACGUGUAGCAGUGAAAUGCGUAGAGAUGUGGAGGAACACCGAUGGCGAAGGCAGCCCCCUGGGCUAACACUGACGCUCAUGCACGAAAGCGUGGGGAGCAAACAGG
rnacentral:rRNA from 1 species